UGGCGCAAGCCUGCCCAGCGACGCCGCGUGAGGGAUGACGUCUUUCUGGGAUGUAAACCUUUGUUGAGGGGGACGAUGAUGACGGUACCCCUCGAGGAAGCCUCGGCUAACUCCGUGCCAGCAGCCGCUGGUAAUACGGAGGAGGCAAGCGUUGUCCGGAAUCACUGGGCGUAAAGGGUGUGUAGGUGUCCUGAUGGGUCAGAUGUGAAAUCCAACCGCUCAACGGUUGAAUGGCAUUUGAAACUAUCAGGAUAGAGGACACUACGGGAGAGUGGAACUCGCGGUGUAGCGGAUAGAAUGCGUGGAUAUCGCGAGGAAUGCCGAUGGCGAAGGCGGCUCUCUGGGAUGUUCUUCGUAUGAAGAGCUAUUCAAUUUACAUCUUCGGAUUACAAUUGAAUGGUCCUGACACUGAAACACGAAAGCUGGGGGAGCGAACGGGAUUAAUACCCCGGNANUCCCAGCCUUAAAC
rnacentral:rRNA from 1 species